rnacentral:rRNA from 1 species
AUGAACGCUAGCGACAGGCUUAACACAUGCAAGUCGAGGGGCAGCACAGGUAGCAAUACCGGGUGGCGACCGGCGCACGGGUGAGUAACGCGUAUGCAACUUGCCUAUCAGAGGGGGAUAACCCGGCGAAAGUCGGACUAAUACCGCAUGAAGCAGGGGCCCCGCAUGGGGAUAUUUGCUAAAGAUUCAUCGCUGAUAGAUAGGCAUGCGUUCCAUUAGGCAGUUGGCGGGGUAACGGCCCACCAAACCGACGAUGGAUAGGGGUUCUGAGAGGAAGGUCCCCCACAUUGGUACUGAGACACGGACCAAACUCCUACGGGAGGCAGCAGUGAGGAAUAUUGGUCAAUGGCCGAGAGGCUGAACCAGCCAAGUCGCGUGAGGGAUGAAGGUUCUAUGGAUCGUAAACCUCUUUUAUAAGGGAAUAAAGUGCGGGACGUGUCCCGUUUUGUAUGUACCUUAUGAAUAAGGAUCGGCUAACUCCGUGCCAGCAGCCGCGGUAAUACGGAGGAUCCGAGCGUUAUCCGGAUUUAUUGGGUUUAAAGGGUGCGUAGGCGGCCUUUUAAGUCAGCGGUGAAAGUCUGUGGCUCAACCAUAGAAUUGCCGUUGAAACUGGGGGGCUUGAGUAUGUUUGAGGCAGGCGGAAUGCGUGGUGUAGCGGUGAAAUGCAUAGAUAUCACGCAGAACCCCGAUUGCGAAGGCAGCCUGCCAAGCCAUUACUGACGCUGAUGCACGAAAGCGUGGGGAUCAAACAGGAUUAGAUACCCUGGUAGUCCACGCAGUAAACGAUGAUCACUAGCUGUUUGCGAUACACUGUAAGCGGCACAGCGAAAGCGUUAAGUGAUCCACCUGGGGAGUACGCCGGCAACGGUGAAACUCAAAGGAAUUGACGGGGGCCCGCACAAGCGGAGGAACAUGUGGUUUAAUUCGAUGAUACGCGAGGAACCUUACCCGGGUUUGAACGCAUUCGGACCGAGGUGGAAACACCUUUUCUAGCAAUAGCCGUUUGCGAGGUGCUGCAUGGUUGUCGUCAGCUCGUGCCGUGAGGUGUCGGCUUAAGUGCCAUAACGAGCGCAACCCUUGCCACUAGUUACUAACAGGUUAGGCUGAGGACUCUGGUGGGACUGCCAGCGUAAGCUGCGAGGAAGGCGGGGAUGACGUCAAAUCAGCACGGCCCUUACAUCCGGGGCGACACACGUGUUACAAUGGCGUGGACAAAGGGAUGCCACCUGGCGACAGGGAGCGAAUCCCCAAACCACGUCUCAGUUCGGAUCGGAGUCUGCAACCCGACUCCGUGAAGCUGGAUUCGCUAGUAAUCGCGCAUCAGCCAUGGCGCGGUGAAUACGUUCCCGGGCCUUGUACACACCGCCCGUCAAGCCAUGAGAGCCGGGGGUACCUGAAGUCCGUAACCGAAAGGAUCGGCCUAGGGUAAAACUGGUGACUGGGGCU